rnacentral:lncRNA from 1 species
AUUAUUCGUAUCAUCAGCUGUUUCAUUCAUCCAUUCAUUCGGAUAACAUUUUGUAUUAAAGUAUAUACAAACAGUAUUGACAUGUUUCAUUUGGAAUUUAGAUCAGUGUGUCCGGCCCAGAGCAUAUAUAUAUGUUCUUCUAUUUUCAGGAAACUCAAUAACAUAUAAUCUAGCAUCAUUUCUCUUGUCAUGGAGAGAGGUAAAACACAAAGUUCAGAUCAGGCCAAAGUAUUCUGAAACUUACUUCAGAACUGCUGAAUGAACAUAGAGUUUAGGGACAAUUAAGCCUUACCUUACAGAAAAUUAAGGCACGGAUUUGCAGAAAAUUGAUGUUUAUUUUAUUUUUUUUUUAAAAAUUCCAGGGGCAUCUCAUGAAAAAAGAAGCAUUGCACUAAUUGAAGUAAAUGAAGAAUAACAUUUCAGAUUAUUCAUAAAACAUAAUUUGUUUGAUAACAUGUCAGGAAAUUGGUUCCAUAAACAAGCAAAGUAAGCAUGCAUUCCAGAUUAUUCAUAAGAAAAAGAUACAUUUGAUAGCAUCUCGGGACAUAGAUUCCACCUCACAUAACAUAACCUUGUUUAAAGCUAAAGUAGAUGUAAAAUAAAACUCGAAGAACAUGCUUCAAAGUUCUAAUUGCUCGACUUCAGUUCGCACAACUUCGCGCGCACAUGCAAGUACCAUGGAUUGAUCAGCAGCUGGUGCAGAAACAUCUCUCCCACGGAGUUAGCUGAGGUUAACGAACUAACUGCUGGUCUCUAACCAAGCAUUUCUUCUAUCACAGCCUGCAGUGAGAAAACAAGUUUGACUUAACCGCCCGGAAAAUUCAUGUGCACAGCCUAAAGAGUCUCGAGAUGAUGUCAAAACUAAGUAGACUUUUUGAAGAUGCCUCAGGUAACAUCGUCCAUGUAUAUUUGUUAGCUGUGCUAAAACUGCGCAAUGGCACA